AGGGCCUGUAGCUCAAUGGUUAGAGCCGGCGGCUCAUAACCGCUUGGUUGGGGGUUCGAGUCCCCUAGGGCGUACCA
rnacentral:tRNA from 2 species